AUGGCUUACACUUGGGUAAUUUUAUUUCCUCAGAUCUUGUACCAGUUCAUGGCGUCAACAGAAGUUAGUACGGAAGCGAGCAGCCCCAGCAAAGAUCCAGAUUUUUCUCCUACCGACCAAGAGACGAGCACAAGCAGUGAGGAAGAUUCAGAAGACCAAGAGACGAGCACAAACAGUGUGGAAGAUGCAGAAGAUAUCGCAGAAGAUAUUCCGAGCACCAAUGACCAAGAGACAAGAACACAAAGUGGAGAAGAUGCAAAACUUAUUCAUCUCAGAUACAGAGGUCAGCCCAAUGUUAUACAUGACCUGUACUCAGAAAUGAGUCCUGAACAGAUUAGUGAUAUGAUGCAAACAGAAUAUCAUGGCACCCUCAAUGUAGGGAUGAACUCUACCCUACCCCAUGAUUUGGUUUUGUGGUUGAUUAGAAGAGUAGACACUAAAACAAAAAAACUAAUUCUGAAGAAGGUUGAUAAGGAUGUUGUAAUUGACUUGACGGAGGCUGCAGCAAAGGUAUUUUCGCUACGGAAUGAAGGGAAAACAGUUCCAAUAGACCCUUUCGCUGCUGGAAGAGAAAGUAAGAAGGGGCAAGAUAUAUGUGUGGAGAGUCCGAGAAAGCAUAGUAGAAAGGGUCAAAUGCCGAAGCAGCACUACUUUAUGAAGAUGAAAAAAUAUAGGAAGUCGAAGAAAGCCACCUAUAGGAUCUUUAAGAAUGCAAUAUUUUCUGGCCUCUUUGUCCCCAACAGUUCAAAAAAUGUAGAUCAAAGGUUAAGACAUAUGUUGAAAAACGUUGAGGACUGGAACUGGCUAGAGUUAUAG
rnacentral:rRNA from 1 species